rnacentral:rRNA from 1 species
GAUGAACGCUGGCGGCGUGCCUAAUACAUGCAAGUCGAGCGAACGGACGAGAAGCUUGCUUCUCUGAUGUUAGCGGCGGACGGGUGAGUAACACGUGGAUAACCUACCUAUAAGACUGGGAUAACUUCGGGAAACCGGAGCUAAUACCGGAUAAUAUUUUGAACCGCAUGGUUCAAAAGUGAAAGACGGUCUUGCUGUCACUUAUAGAUGGAUCCGCGCUGCAUUAGCUAGUUGGUAAGGUAACGGCUUACCAAGGCAACGAUGCAUAGCCGACCUGAGAGGGUGAUAGGCCACACGGGAACGGAGACACGGUCCAGACUCCUACGGGAGGCAGCAGUAGGGAACCGUACGCAAUGGGCGAAAGCCUGACGGAGCAACGCCGCGUGAGUGAUGAAGGUCUUCGGAUCGUAAAACUCUGUUAUUAGGGAAGAACAUAUGUGUAAGUAACUGUGCACAUCUUGACGGUACCUAAUCAGAAAGCCACGGCUAACUACGUG